AGAGUUUGAUCAUGGCUCAGGAUGAACGCUGGCGGCGUGCUUAACACAUGCAAGUCGAACGAAGCUGCUUAACUGAUCUUCUUCGGAAUUGGCGUUUUGUAGACUGAGUGGCGGACGGGUGAGUAACGCGUGGGUAACCUGCCCUGUACAGGGGGAUAACAGUCAGAAAUGACUGCUAAUACCGCAUAAGACCACAGCACCGCAUGGUGCAGGGGUAAAAACUCCGGUGGUACAGGAUGGACCCGCGUCUGAUUAGCUGGUUGGUGAGGUAACGGCUCACCAAGGCGACGAUCAGUAGCCGGCUUGAGAGAGUGAACGGCCACAUUGGGACUGAGACACGGCCCAAACUCCUACGGGAGGCAGCAGUGGGGAAUAUUGCACAAUGGGGGAAACCCUGAUGCAGCGACGCCGCGUGAGUGAAGAAGUAUCUCGGUAUGUAAAGCUCUAUCAGCAGGGAAGAAAAUGACGGUACCUGACUAAGAAGCCCCGGCUAACUACGUGCCAGCAGCCGCGGUAAUACGUAGGGGGCAAGCGUUAUCCGGAAUUACUGGGUGUAAAGGGUGCGUAGGUGGUAUGGCAAGUCAGAAGUGAAAACCCAGGGCUUAACCGUGGAGGGUCAUUGGAAACUGGUCGACUUGAGUGCAGAAGAGGGAAGUGGAAUUCCGUGUGUAGCGGUGAAAUGCGUAGAGAUAUGGAGGAACACCAGUGGCGAAGGCGGCUUCCUGGUCUGUAACUGACACUGAGGCGCGAAAGCGUGGGGAGCAAACAGGAUUAGAUACCCUGGUAGU
rnacentral:rRNA from 1 species